rfam:Triticum aestivum genome assembly, contig: Triticum_aestivum_CS42_TGACv1_scaffold_404302_5BL
UAGCUACUCCCUCCGUUCGGAAUUACUUGUCUCGAAGGUGGAUGUAUCUAGAACUAAAAUACAUCUAGAUACAUCCAUUUUCGCGACAUGUAAUUCCGAACGGAGGGAGUAGAUG